GAUCAGCUUGAUUCCCAGACAAUACAAUCUCCCUGAAUUGGAGCAACCCUCCAGCAAGCUGGGAGGAAGGGAAGAGCUGGGGGAUUCUGGGGUCUGCAGGGUGUGAGUCGCUAAGGCACAAACAGGCUCAGAGCAGAGAGCUCGCCAAGGUUACAGAGCGAGGAAGUGAUGGGUCUGAACUUGGAACUAGAGCCUGCACUUCGAACCACCACACGGCAUUGUGCCUCUGACUUAUUCUCCACGAUGGAGAACUGUAUGUAGAGGCCCCAGGCCCCAGGCCAACAUGGAGAGCAUCCUGCCAGGCCUGGUGCUCGGUGCUCUGCGUGCUCCAUCGCACUGGACCACCCUCUGCAGCCCUGUGAGCUACUGCUCAGGGCCACUUCCUCCAGGAAGCCCUCCCUGAAUUCUCCUGCCCACCCUUCUCAGGACUCGGAGAGUGCCAGGGUGUGUGACCAGCGUGGAACUGAUUCCAUAAAUGCUAAGACUACACCUGGCACAAUGCUGGCUGCCUGGCAGGCACCCUGUAAAUUAAAGUGCUACCAGCCAGAACAACCUCAGCCUAUGAGCUAAGCAAGUCUGUACGCCUCCCAUACAAAUGAGAUCACUGAGGCCGAGAGGGGUUAAGCUGCUUGCUUGAAGCAGGAAAUAUCUGGUCCAGCCUGGCUCGCAGCCCUUCCUGCCCCACUCCUGUUACCUGCCCGAUGCUGCAGGCAUCACUGUGUCGCCGGAGCCAGCUUCAGACCCCAGGCCAGGAGCUAAGAAUAUCUCCAAGAGUCUUCCCUGACACCUGCAGCAGAUGUGCCCACAAAUUACCUGGUCCCAGCGGUAGGGAGCAGGCAAGGAAAGGGCAGCAUUUUCCUAAAAGCAUUGCACAUUUAAUUUGCAAAGUUACAUCACACAUUCGUGCACAGGGCAGCUUUUGGGAGCUGAUUUCAACGCUAGAGGCGGGUUGGAUAUCCCGGGUGUGACCUUUACAGGUUGGCAGGGCGGGUUUGGGGGGCAUGUAGACACCUGUGAGUGUCAGAUACUCUCACACGUGGGGCAGAUGGAGAGAGACAGAUAUUCCAGGGGCCCCUUCUCUGCAAGUGCUCACUGGGCACCUCCACAGGCGUCAUCUCACUUCUUCCCGAAAGAAACCCAGCCAAGUGUGCCUGAGCCUGGCUGCAUCUCACGAGGUCACGUGUCUUCCCAUCCCUUACAGACCAUGUGACAUGCGCAGACCCUGAACUUGAACCCAGGUGUCCAGACUCCUAAACCCACAUUUUCCCACCACCCAGUGCAGUUAAGAAAUGUGAACAGGGGUGACAGGUAUUAUGUAUACAGAGGGUAAAAGCACAUGCACAUCUAGCUGCACCUUUUAAAAAUUAUUGGAUGGGCCUGGGUACUUUAUUUAUGAGCGUCACAGGAAAAGCUGUGGAACUUGUGUGAGAUUUCAGCCCGGAGUGGGUCAAGAAUUGUCCACAGCAGCAGUGAAACUGCAAGUGGUCGAAAUGAGUAAGACUGAGUUCUAUCGAGAGUCCCACUGAGUCCAGCUCACUCAAUUGAUGAAUUAAUUGUCUUGAAUUAUUAUCAGUAAUUUUAGGGCUUUGAAAAAUUAACUCGAGGUAGUUUUAUCUCAGAAGACACCAUUUAGAAGUUGACGUGGCUUCCUCCUGGAUCUCGCAGAGAACUCUACACAGUGUUCUGUGGUGAUCUGUGUGGGAGAGGAAGCUGAAAGAGAAUGGAUGUGUGUACGUGGGUAAUGGAAUCACUUUGUUGUACAGCAGAAAUUAGCACAAACUUGACAUCAAUCAAAUCAACUGUAUAUUAAUAAAAGUUGAAAAAUUAAAAAAAAUUC